rnacentral:rRNA from 1 species
AGCGUUGAGCUUAUACCUAACCAUAAUGUCAAUUUGUAAGGUUUUAAUUAAUUUCUAUUUUUUAAAAUUUAAAAAAUUGAAGACAUUAUGAGUAAGAGGAACGCAAUG